UAAAGGUUUGGUCCUGGCCUUCCCAUUAGUUCCUAACAGACUUACACAUGCAAGCCUCCACGCCCCAGUGAAAAUGCCCUCCAAAUCACACUGGUGAUCAAAAGGAGCGGGUAUCAAGCACACUAAAACAAGUAGCUCACAACACCUUGCUCAGCCACACCCCCACGGGUUACAGCAGUGAUAAAAAUUAAGCUAUGAACGAAAGUUCGACUAAGUCAUGUUAACAAAGGGUUGGUAAAUUUCGUGCCAGCCACCGCGGUCACACGAUUAACCCAAAUUAAUAGGUCUACGGCGUAAAACGUGUUAAAGACGAUACACAACACUAAAGUUAAAAUCUGGCCAGGCUGUAAAAAGCUACUGCCGGUACAAAAUAUACCACGAAAGUGACUUUACUGACUCUGACCACACGAUAGCUAAGACCCAAACUGGGAUUAGAUACCCCACUAUGCUUAGCCCUAAACAUAAAUAAUCUCAGUACAACAAGAUUACUUGCCAGAGAACUACUAGCAACAGCUUAAAACUCAAAGGACUUGGCGGUGCUUUACAUCCCUCUAGAGGAGCCUGUUCUAUAAUCGAUAAACCCCGAUAAACCUCACCACUCCUAGCUAAAUCAGUCUAUAUACCGCCAUCUUCAGCAAACCCUUAAAAGGAACAAAAGUAAGCACAAUAAUCAAACAUAAAAAAGUUAGGUCAAGGUGUAACCCAUGGAGUGGGAAGAAAUGGGCUACAUUUUCUAAGUAAGAACACACUCAUACGAAAGUUCUUAUGAAACUAAGAACCAAAGGAGGAUUUAGUAGUAAACUAAGAAUAGAGUGCUUAGUUGAACUGGGCCAUGAAGCACGCACACACCGCCCGUCACCCUCCUCAAGCAACGCAACCCAAACACAACAUAUUAAUCAACCAACCAAUGCAAGAGGAGACAAGUCGUAACAAGGUAAGCAUACUGGAAAGUGUGC
rnacentral:ncRNA from 1 species